rnacentral:miRNA from 1 species
UGACCUCUGGUCUCCCGCCCUG